ACCUCCGUACGGGAGGCAGCAGGUGGGGAAUAUUGCACAAUGGGCGCAAGCCUGAUGCAGCCAUGCCGCGUGUAUGAAGAAGGCCUUCGGGUUGUAAAGUACUUUCAGCAGUGAGGAAGGUGGGUAUGUUAAUAGCAUAUUAUUUGACGUUAGCUGCAGAAGAAGCACCGGCUAAACUCCGUGCCAGCAGCCGCGGUAAUACGGAGGGUGCGAGCGUUAAUCGGAAUUACUGGGCGUAAAGCGCAUGCAGGUGGUUUGUUAAGUCAGAUGUGAAAGCCCGGGGCUCAACCUCGGAAUUGCAUUUGAAACUGGC
rnacentral:rRNA from 1 species